UGGGGACCCUAAGGGCCAGGGGGGAUGUGGGGCUGGCUCUCAGUCCCUGCCUCGUGGGGGGUGCCUCCCCCUCCUGCGAUGGUGGUCCUAAGAGCCAGAGGGGGAAGAGGGGCUGGCUCUCAGUCCCUGCCUCGUGGGGGGUGCCUCCCCCUCCUGCGAUGGUGGUCCUAAGAGCCAGAGGGGGAAGAGGGGCUGGCUCUCAGUCCCUGCCUCGUGGGGGGUGCCUCCCCCUCCUGCGAUGGUGGUCCUAAGAGCCAGAGGGGGAAGAGGGGCUGGCUCUCAGUCCCUGCCUCGUUGGGGGUGCCUCCCCCCCCUGCGAUGGGGGUCAUGAGAGCCGGGGGGGAUGAGGGGCUGGCUCUCAGUCCCCGCCUCGCGGGGGGUGCCUGCCCCCCCUGCGAUGGGGGCCCUAAGGGCCAGGGGGGAUGUGGGGCUGGCUCUCAGUCCCUGCCUCGUGGGGGGUGCCUCCCCCCCCUGCGAUGGGGGUCCUGAGUCCACAGUCUACAAUACCCCACAGCUCCCAAGAAUUCCCUCACCUGCCUUCUGCCCUUAGGCUCUGGUAGAUUGUAAAUAACCUGCUUUCUUUCUGUUCCCGGGCGGUGUCGAACCCCUGUCGGAGAGUAAAUCCGAAGUAAGGUACCUGCCGUGGGCAGAUUUGAGCUUUCUUCUUGGACACCUAAUACCCACAGUCCUCCAGGCUCCGGUAGAUUGCAAAUGACCUGCUUUCUUUCUGUUCCCGGCGUUUGGACCCCUGUCGGAUAGUAAAUCCCAAGUAAGGUACCUGCCGUGGGCAGAUUUGAGCUUUCUUCUUGGACACCUAAUACCCAGAGUCGUCCAGGUGGGUCCUUAAGGUUCUUAGGAUCCCCGAUGGGGGUCCUAAGCCAGGGGGGGAUGAGGGGCUGGCUCUCAGUCCCGGCUUCGUGGGGGGUGCCUCCCCCCCCUGCGAUGGGGGCCCUAAGAGCCAGGGGGGAUGUGGGUCUGGCUCUCAGUCCCUGCCUCGUGGGGGGUGCCUCCCCCCCCUUGAUGGGGGUAGUGAGAGCCCGGGGUGAUCAGGGGCUGGCUCUCAGUGCACGCCUCUUGGGGGUGCCUCCCCCCCUGCGAUGGGGUCACUGAGAGCCAGGGGGGAUGUGGGGCUGGCUCUCAGUCCCUGCCUCGUGGGGGGUGCCUCCCCCCCCAUGAUGGGGGUCGUGAGAGCCCGGGGUGAUCAGGGGCUGGCUCUCAGUCCACGCCUCUCGGGGGGUGCCUCCCCCCCUGCGAUGGGGUCACUGAGAUCCAGGGGUAAGAGGGGCUGGCUCUCAGUCCCUGCCUCGUUGGGGGUGCCUCCCCCCCCUGCGAUGGGGGUCAUGAGAGCCGGGGGGGAUGAGGGGCUGGCUCUCAGUCCCCGCCUCGCUGGGGGUGCCUCCCCCCCCUGCGAUGGGGACCCUAAGGGCCAGGGGGGAUGUGGGGCUGGCUCUCAGUCCCUGCCUCGUGGGGGGUGCCUCCCCCUCCUGCGAUGGUGGUCCUAAGAGCCAGAGGGGGAAGAGGGGCUGGCUCUCAGUCCCUGCCUCGUGGGGGGUGCCUCCCCCUCCUGCGAUGGUGGUCCUAAGAGCCAGAGGGGGAAGAGGGGCUGGCUCUCAGUCCCUGCCUCGUUGGGGGUGCCUCCCCCCCCGCGAUGGGUGUCAUGAGAGCCGGGGGGGAUGAGGGGCUGGCUCUCAGUCCCCGCCUCGCGGGGGGUGCCUCCCCCCCCUGCGAUGGGGGCCCUAAGGGCCAGGGGGGAUGUGGGGCUGGCUCUCAGUCCCUGCCUCGUGGGGGGUGCCUCCCCCCCCUGCGAUGGGGGUCCUGAGUCCACAGUCUACAAUACCCCACAGCUCCCAAGAAUUCCCUCACCUGCCUUCUGCCCUUAGGCUCUGGUAGAUUGUAAAUAACCUGCUUUCUUUCUGUUCCCGGGCGGUGUCGAACCCCUGUCGGAGAGUAAAUCCGAAGUAAGGUACCUGCCGUGGGCAGAUUUGAGCUUUCUUCUUGGACACCUAAUACCCACAGUCCUCCAGGCUCCGGUAGAUUGCAAAUGACCUGCUUUCUUUCUGUUCCCGGCGUUUGGACCCCUGUCGGAUAGUAAAUCCCAAGUAAAGUACCUGCCGUGGGCAGAUUUGAGCUUUCUUCUUGGACACCUAAUACCCAGAGUCGUCCAGGUGGGUCCUUAAGGUUCUUAGGAUCCCCGAUGGGGGUCCUAAGCCAGGGGGGGAUGAGGGGCUGGCUCUCAGUCCCGGCUUCGUGGGGGGUGCCUCCCCCCCCUGCGAUGGGGGCCCUAAGAGCCAGGGGGGAUGUGGGUCUGGCUCUCAGUCCCUGCCUCGUGGGGGGUGCCUCCCCCCCCAUGAUGGGGGUCGUGAGAGCCCGGGGUGAUCAGGGGCUGGCUCUCAGUGCACGCCUCUCGGGGGUGCCUCCCCCCCUGCGAUGGGGUCACUGAGAGCCAGGGGGAAGAGGGGCUGGCUCUCAGUCCCUGCCUCGUUGGGGGUGCCUCCCCCCCUGCGAUGGGGGUCAUGAGAGCCGGGGGGGAUGAGGGGCUGGCUCUCAGUCCCCGCCUCGCGGGGGGUGCCUCCCACCCCUGCGAUGGGGGCCCUAAGGGCCAGGGGGGAUGUGGGGCUGGCUCUCAGUCCCUGCCUCGUGGGGGGUGCCUCCCCCUCCUGCGAUGGUGGUCCUAAGAGCCAGAGGGGGAAGAGGGGCUGGCUCUCAGUCCUUGCCUCGUGGGGGGUGCCUCCCCCUCCUGCGAUGGUGGUCCUAAGAGCCAGAAGGGGAAGAGGGGCUGGCUCUCAGUCCCUGCCUCGUGGGGGGUGCCUCCCCCCCCGCGAUGGGGGUCAUGAGAGCCAGGGGGGAUGAGGGGCUGGCUCUCAGUCCCCGCCUCGCAGGGGGUGCCUCCCCCACCUGCGAUGGGGGCCCUAAGAGCCAAUGGGGGCCCUAAGAGCCGGGGGGAUGUGGGGCUGGCUCUCAGUCCCUGCCUCGUGGGGGGUGCCUCCCCCCCAUGAUGGGGGUCGUGAGAGCCCGGGGUGAUCAGGGGCUGGCUCUCAGUCCACGCCUCUCGGUGGGUGCCUCCCCCCCUGCGAUGGGGUCCCUGAGAGCCAGGGGGAAGAGGGGCUGGCUCUCAGUCCCUGCCUCGUUGGGGGUGCCUCCCCUCCCUGCGAUGGGUGUCAUGAGAGCCGGGGGGGAUGAGGGGCUGGCUCUCAGACCCUGCCUCGUGGGGGGUGCCUCUCCCCCCUGCGAUGGGGGUCGUGAGAUCCGGGUGGUGAGGGGCUUGGUCUCAGUCCCCGCCUCGCGGGGGGUGCCUCCCCCCCUGCGAUGGGGGUCCUAAGAGCCUGGGGCGGAAUAGGGGCUGGCUCUGAGUCCCCGCCUCGUGGGGGGUGCCUCCCCCCCUGCGAUGGGUGUCCUAAGAGCCAGGGCGGGGAGAGGGGCUGGGUCUCAGCCACCACAAAAUGGGGGGCCUUUAUGUUGAAGUUUUGCCCAAGAGUCAGCUUAUUUGCUUCUUGUACUAGCAGGGCAGUUGCUGCCAAGGCCCUCAAACAGGGGAGCCAUCCUUCAGAAUCCCUGUCUAGUUGUUCAGAGAUGUAGGCCACCGGCCUCAGCCAGGGCCCCACAGUUUGGGUUAAAAGUCCAGCUGCCAUCUUUUCUCUAUCUGACGCAUUCAAUGGAAAAGGCUUUGUCAGAUCGGGUAGCCCCGGGACUGGGGCUGCCAGCAGUUUUUCCUUUAACUCAUGAAAGACUUGCUGUUCUUGGGAUCCCCAUUCCAAAGGUUCCCGGUGCCCACCCACUUUGUGACCUCAUACAAAGGCUUGGCUAAUACUGCAAAGUUUGGGAUCCACAGUCUACAAAACCCCACAGCUCCUGAGAAUUUUCUUGGCUGCCUUCGGCCCUUAUGCCCUGGUAGAUUGCAAAUAACCUGCUUUCUUUCUGUUCCCGGGCGCCGUCGGACCCGUCGGAGAGUAAAUCCCAAGGUACCUGCCAUCGGCAGAUUUGAGCUUUCUUCUUGGACACCUAAUACCCACAGUCCUCCAGGCUCCGGUAGAUUGCAAAUAACCUGCUUUCUUUCUGUUCCCGGGCUGCGUUCGGACCCCUGUCGGAGAGUAAAUCCCAAGUAGGGUACCUGCCGUCAGCAGAUUUGAGCUUUCUUCUUGGACAGCUAAUACCCACAGUCCUCCAGCAUAGGAGUACAUGAUGCAGCAAUUUGUUUUCAUUUGAAGGAGAUAACCAACAUGCCUCAGGCCAUUGAACUCCUGGAAAUGUCACAUGCUCAACAUCUUAUCCAUAUAAUGGACUAGUUCUGCAUUUUAUGGGAUGUUGUGAUUAUCAAGACCCCUGAAGCCUUGCUUAUGACAGAACAGGAGAGUUGCCAUAGACCUGAGCUCACAUCGUGAAGAUGUACUGCUGUCCCUGCCAUGUGAAAGCAAACACCUUCCAAAAGUGCUUGUAACCAAUACAGCAGGAAAUAAAGUAUAUUUUACAUAAAUAGCUGCA